UGCCCAGCCUUUUUUUUUUUUUUUUUUUUUUAAUGAGAAGAUGAAGGCUCAGAGAUUGUUAUGGGCUGAACUGGGUACCCCCUUACCAAAUCCACAUGCUGAAAUCCUUACCCCCAGAACCUGUGAGUGCGACCUUAUUGGGGGACAGGGUCUUGACAAAAUUAAGUUAAAAUGAAGUCAUUCAGGUGGCCCCUAAUCCCGUAGGACUGGUAUCCUUCUAAGAAGGGGAGGUUUGGACCCAGACACACACAGGCACACACAGAGGCCAUGUGACAGUGAAUAAGGCCUUCUGGGAGUCAAGGAGAGAGGCCUCAGAAAGAACUAGCCCAGUCCACACCUUGAUCGUGGAGUACUGGGCUCCAGGACGGGGGGAGAAUAAGUUUCUGUUGUUGAAGCUGCCCAGUUUGUGGCUUCAGGAAACCAACAGAGACGAAGGGACUUUUCAAGAUUCGCCAGAGUGGAGCGGGACUCACCGUCUUGGCCGCGGGAUCCUGCCUGCUGGUGUUUUUUGGUUGGAGGAAGUGGGAGCUCGCUUUGCCAAGUCACCCUUAGGCCCCACGUGAUGCCAGGAUGCAAUAAGAGAGAAGCUUAAACAGGAACUCUGCUAACGUCUUUAUUUCUUCCCUUUGAAGAACCCUGGAAAGCUCUCUGUAAAUAUUUGUGAAGUUAAUUUCACAACCCACAAGUGAAUACAUGAAUAAAUUAGUGAGUGAGUGUCAAACACAGCACUGUCCCGACGCCUGUCCUGUCUGUUCAGUGACCAGAUGUGACUUCCUCUAGGGCCCUGAGGCAGCCAUGGCCUCAAAUCACUGCUGUGCCCUGAGGGCAGGGGUGCCAAGGGGUGAGGUCCAGUGGGCUGCUCUGCCCUCAGCACUGGGGUCUCUCGGGCUCAGCCUCUGGGAAGCGUUGAGGUCUUCCCUCCGAGGCAGUCAGUGGUGGGAGAGGAGGGUGAGGGACACGCUGCCCAGAGCUGUAGCCACCGGGCAGCCUGGGCUUUGCUUUUCCUUUCCAAGGCCUUCCCUGCAUGGCGAAGUGGCUGGCUCUGUUCACAUUCAAGCUGGCCCAGAACAGCUUCACGUGCACCUCAGAUCAUCUUUUAGGGGUUUUUAAAUUUUCAUUUUUUAGCAGUAGUUAUCAUUUUGUUUUUCCAUAGGGAGAAACAGGUGGUGCCUUAAAACAAACAAACAAAACUCUGACGUUUAUUGGAUUUAUGCUGAAAAUAUUGAACCGUUCACAAAGGGGCCUUUGAUCCUGAGAACCUUUCAGGUCUUCGGUGCUUUUGUGCUCACCGAUUCCAGGCCAGGACACCAAUGCUCCCACAGCCUUGAAGCCCAGUGGGAACGGGCCGGCCCGGGCUCAGGAGCCCCGUGCCCCUCCCUCUCCUUUCUUCAUUUGCCACCAGCUCAACAUCCCUUGCCCUGCCCCGUUGCAUCUACACACGUGUGUUUUGGUUUUGAUUGAUUUGUUUGCCGACACUUUUUGUUAGCAGCUCAUUGAAGAUUUCCAGUCUGCAGUAAGGAUUGAGCCAUGGAAUCUUCUGGAAUCCCUGCAGCCUGGCUGAGCCAUGAGCUGUCCCAUGGCUGCAGCCAGUGCUGCCAAUCCUAUGUUCCGUUUGCAGGGAACAUUCUUUCCCUCCACACCCGCACUUCCCCGAGACCAGCCCGGUCCAGGCUUUGGGGUCUGCCUGGCUGUCUCCUUGUCCUCCGCUGCCCCGCCACCCCUGUCCCCAGCCUAGACCCAGAGCACUGUGUCCUGGCCUUUGUCAGACCCCGUCUAUCCGCGCACCUCCGGGCCUGGUCCCUGAACCGCUGCCUGCCUCCCAGGGUCCACUCUGGCCUCAGUGAGUGACAGGCUCUCAGAUCACCACAUAAAUGAAUGAACUUCCGGAAGAAGGAAUGACAACAUGGGCGUUUAAAAAUAUUCCUUCAUUCAGCGUCUACCCUAUCUUUGGAAUGAUGCCUGAUGUUCUCCCUUGAAAAGAGCAGCAUUUGGGGAGAGGGAGGCCUCGCCAGCGGCACCGGUGGAACCUAGGAUGGGAGCCUGCCACGCCAGAUGCCAGACACGCCAGGGUUCCCGCACACCUGAUCCCGAUUGCAUGAAGUGGAGGGACCUCCUCCUCCCUCUUUGUUUGUGUUUUCCCUCUCCCUCUGUCCCUUCCACAUGUCCCCACCCUGAGUCGGGAUCUGUGCCACGGUAUAGACUGCAGAGUUUUGACCUCCUCCUCGCAGUCCUCCUUGUCUUUUAUUUAAAAGGCAGCAGAGAGGGGGACUCUAGUCUCUCCCCCUGCCCUGCCUGCCAACAGCUACACGGCAUAGAGUUCACUGUUCUGUGGCUUUAGGUCUUCGUGUCCGGGCGCCCGCACAGUGGAAACAGGUGGGGGCAGAGACAAGAGCGAGGUGACGGGACAGCCACCUUGUCCUCAGCGUCCCUCCAGGAGCCCCUCGAGGUUGGAAUGGCAGGCACCGGGUCCUUCCUGGAGCCUCUCGUCUCUGCUAGGCAGCGAUGUGUUGUAACAGGUUCCUGGAGCACUUCCUCGCCAUCUGUCUCCAGAGCUGGAUUAUCGCUCCGCUCCGAGAGGGGUUCCAAUUUGCAAUUGUAAAUUGUGUUCUUUCCCCCUUUUCACUCCACAUGUAGGGACUCUGACAGCUUGAAGGGGCUGUCGUGGUUUGCAGAGAGCAUGGCUUGUUUUCCACACGGCACAAAACACCCUCCCUCUGGAGUCCCUCGGGGGACAGGGACGGUCCCCAGGGGUGCUGGGUGGGCGCUGGAGGCCAGGUGAGUAGGAGACUGGGAGGGAGGGAGGCAGGCGCUAGACACAUGGUCUUUCUCCAAGUUGACCUUGGGCUGACUCCGGGACUCGACCCUGGACUCCUCCGGGGGACCUAGAGCCCACCCUGACGAGCUCAUGUGUGCAAUGAGGUAAGAGUGGAUGGUACUGGGGGCACCUGACCUCUCGCUUCUGUUCCUCUCCCGCGAGUGCCUUUACACCACGGGGCAGGGGCCAGAGGGCUUCCUUGCUACACAGCCGGGCCCUGCCACUUCCCCCGCGUGGCACUCUUCACACUCCUCACUCUGCCGGGCCCUGCAUAAGGCCUGCUGCCCGCCGCCCGCUUCCCUCCUCUGUCCCGGGGGACACCGACCUCAUCACUGUGCCUUGAACACACCAGGGCGCCUUUCACAGGCAUCUGCCCCGCAGACAGCGUCACCGCCAAAUUCUACCAAACAUCUGAAGAGGAGUUAAUAUCAGACCUUCACAAACACCUCCAAAAGAUGGGAGGAGAAAAUGCUUCUCAGCGCCUUUUGAGUCCAGUGGUCCUUAGGUGCCAAAGCCGGACAAAGGUACCACAGGACAAGGAGCUGGCAGGCACAGCCCCUCCCAGGUCUCAUUCUUCCCGCAGGCUCCCUCUCGCCGCUGGCCAGGGCCUGCGCUUGAAAUGCCCGCCUGGGAGGUUUCCUGAUUGUUCUGACGCCGGCUGCUCAGUGCCCCAUCCCUCCCCCAGCCUUGCUCCCCCCUGCAGGGUCCUGCUGGGGACAUGUGCCUGGCCCACCUGUCUGACACUGCCCCCCAUCUCUGUCCCUGGACCGAUGCUCCUGUCUGGCUGACUCUUUGUCUCGUGUUUACAUCGGCUGUACCCAGAGCGGCACCUGGUUGCCAGAGGGCACCUCUGCUUGCAUGGCGUGUAGCAGAGAGAAUGGCUCCCAAGAUCCUUAGCCAUGGACUUGUCCCCUCAUAGUCAGGGUGGGGUGGGUCUUGCCUCUGUCCGUGGAGCUGUCCCUCCCAUGGCCUUCGAUGGCACCCUUGUGUGGGUCUUCACCUCCUGCACCCCUGCGUGGGUCCUCAGCUCCUGCACCUCUGCGGAGUCGGCUGCAUCAGCAAGCUGCAUCGGCCUGGCAACGCUGGCUACAAGGCUCCUUUGGUGCCUCUUCCGCAUCUUGUUGCAGGGUCGAUCUGCUUCAAGGUCAGCAAAAUGCUUUUGGCUCCUACUGUACAGAGAAGGAAACCGAGGCUGGCACAUCCCCAGGUGGAGACAGCGUUCACGACAGCCAGGGGCCAGGGGAUGAUGAGCUGGUUUGUUCCAAGAGAGGGUGAAGCUUGUGACAUGUAUGAAGCAUGGGUGGGCAAGGUGGCACGCGGGCACCCAAGGCCAGUCCAGUUAAUCCUCAGGGUUGAGCCCAGGACCAGCAGAGCCAGGGCCAGGCCUGAUGCAUGGACCUGCAGGCCUAUAGGGCAUCCAGUGAGGGGGUCCCUUUCAGGCAAUACAGGGACCGCUCUCCGGGGGCCACUAGGAAACCUCAAACCCACAGCUGGGCCCAGGGCAGCAGCAGGGUCGAGAUCAAGAAUAAUGUCCAGUGGGAGGCUGAGCUUUGUCCGAGGCCUGCAGAGGAUCCCUGGGGAUGCUGUGGGGUUUUCAUAGGCUGUGGAAGGAGUGUGGGAUCUGGGAACCUGAAGCCCAAGGUACAGCCAUUCAGCACCACAGGUGUGGCCCAAUUUCUAGGUAAAGACGACAGUUUGGCCUGGGAAACACACCCCCGUUUGCCCAAUUUUGAGGUCCGGGGUGUUUUUUCACUGGCUCAGCUUCCCACAGAAGGUCCCUGUUCCUUUUGGGGUUUCCUAAAGGCAUCAGGGCCUGUUUUUCAGACUUGAGAUCCAAGGCAAAGGGGCCUUUGCUCACUUUAAAAAAAAAUUCAUUUUUAUUGGCGCAUAAUAGAUGUACAUAGUUUCUGGGUACACGUCAGAAUUUAAUACAUUCAUAUAAUUUGUAAAGAUCCAAUCAGCAUAAUUAAGGCAUCCAUCACCUUCAAUACUGGUCUUUUCUUGAUGCUGAAGACAUUGGGGUUAUUCUCUUCUGGCUGUUUGGAAAUGUACAGUAGAUUACUGUGAGCUACAGUCACCUGCUGCUCUAACACUGGGGCUUAUUUCUCCCAUUAAACCAUAUAUUUGUACACAUCAGUCACCCUCUUUUCAUCCCCCGACUCCCUUCCCCUUCCCAGUCUCUGGUACCCACAAUCUACUCUCCCCCUCCAUGAGAUCCACCUUUUAGCUCCCCUGUGUGAGUGAGAACAUGCCGUAUUCGCUUUCCUCGGCUUAGCUUACUUCACUUAACAUGGUGGCCUGCAGUUCCUCCGUGCUGCUGACUUUCAAUACCUCGUUCUAUGGUAGCUCCACCCACUCCCAGUAAACCCUCCGCGUCCUGAUGCGCCAUGAGACGGCUGCUGUUUCCCAAAUAGUGCUACGGCCCCGCUUCUCCCCUCCUUCUCUGCCCCAGGGCCUGGGUCCACUCCCGCACACCAGCUCCCACCUGCUCCCAGCCUCCCCCUCCCAUCUGCACCGGCUGGGUUUUGGCUUUAAUUUCAGCAAACACAGGCAAUUCCUCUUCCCACUGGGGAUGAGAACUGGCAGAAAUAUCACAGCGAAGGCAGCCUCCCCAGCUCCUACCAGCCAAGGAAAAGCAAAAAUCCAUAGGCGUUGCUCAGGGUGUGAUUAACCUCCUGAAAAGCACACAUUCCCUCCAUCAUCAUCAUCAUCAUCAUCAUCAUCAUCAUCAUCAUCAUCAUCGUGUUGAUCUCGGCCAUCAUCAUCAUCGUGUUGAUCUCCGCCCGGAGCAUCCACAGCGCUCCUGACAAUGCGAGUCUUCCCCAAAGGGCAUCUCUUUUGUAAAGUGAGACACAGCUCCUGCAAUCCAGGGAGGAGGCAGGGGGGAGUGCUCGGCCCCACACCUGGGUAAAGUCACACGGAUGGAGAAACCACUUCAUACACUCAGUGAAAGCAAUGUUCCUGAUGAGUUUGAGUCAGCACCGGGAAAUUAGAGCCAGAAUCAACCGCAGGAAAUCAGCAUCCUCUCGGCCCCUGUCUUCUCCUCGGCAGAGUGGGCUAGAAGAAGGAUGCCAGAGAUCUCGAGCUUUGGCCGUGGAUGGACCUGGGUGUGAGUCAUGGCUCAGCCAUUUGCCAGCUGUGCAAACUCAGACAAGCUGCUUAAGCCGCUUCACACUUUUGGUAAAGGAAAGGUAGAUGGGGGAUGAGGUAUCGUACGGGGUGCAUGGCCCUUAGGAGUGUCUGGUCCAUAGUGAGGGCCCCGUGCAUGGAAGCCAUAGCAACCAGGAUGUGUGCUUUCUCUGAGCAGCGCUUUGCUCCGUGGUGUCCACCGCAUGUACACUAAUUUCCAGGACCAGGAGCUGCUUUCGAGGACCCUCCCUAGCAAGUACUUAGGAGUCCGCCACACACAGAUUGAGCACAGAUCCAUCUCUGGCUCUAUCUCACAGCUUUCCCGCUGCUUUCCUUAGGCCGGUGGUUGACGUGGUCUCCAUGAGCUGUGUGCAUCCUCUGGUGACAGGAAAAGAUUUGUACCCCCAGGAAGGUCCCCAGCCUUCCCCCACCUGCUUUCUGGGGGGGAUUCUGCCUUGGUCUUCUCUCAUCCAUCCCUCAGGGGUCCCGUCUUUGUGAUGUCAGCGUGAAGUGGAAUCUGCAGAAUGGCUGAAGUGGAGAAGACUGCAAAUGCAUUGGAUGAUGAUAGCAGCAUCAUUUACAAUCACCACGACUUGGAAGCAGCCGAGAUGUCCUCUGGCAGGUGAUUGGAGAAAUGAACUGUGGCAUGUCGACACAGACCACGGAAUACUAUUCAGUGCUAAAAAUGAGUGAGCUUCCCAUCCAUGAAAAGACAUAAAGGAACCAGAAAUGCAGAUCACAAAGUGAAAGCGGUCAGUCUGGGGAGGCUACACACCCUCUGACUCCAACUCUGUGACAUUCCCAAAGAGGAAACAUUAUGGGGACAGGAAAAAGAGGAGGUGCCAUCAUUAGGGAAGCAGGAGCUGAAGAGAGUCAGAGUGACACCACUGAAAAAUCUUCUCUGUCUUGAGACUAACAAGGCACCUUCCUUACCAGUCACAACCCAUGGUCCUAAGAUGGUCACAGCUAAGGAGGCAGCUUGGUACUGCCUGCAAGGACAAACUCCUAAAACAACAGAAAGCCCAGAUGUCCCAAUACCCAUAACAAUAUGUGCUUUCAAGAUAAUUAUAGAUACGCUUUGAUGUACUCAUGUACUAGACUGUUAAGGAUAGUUUUCUAUAAAUCAAUAGUGUAAUCAAUUUUGUCAUGCCAUCUGCUCCUCCUCACAGAGUCACGGCUUGGUUUAGUCAUUACAUAGACAAGACCCCUAUAUAAGAAAAACUUAAAGACGGUGCAUUCUCUCAGAAGGUCCCCUGCUCUGUAAGAGUAGCUUUUAAUAAACGUGCUUCCUUCGCUGCACCUUGUGAUUCACCUUGAAUUGCUUCCUGUGUGAGAUCAGAAACCCUCUCUUGGGGUCUGGAUCAAGACCCCUUUUCCGGUAACACCAUGGGUUGGGGAGAGGGAGCGAUGAAUAGGUGGAGCACAGGACUUUUUGGGGCAGUGAAAUUCCUCCGUAUCAUU